ACAUCAUUCAACUUAUCUUGAAUUGAAAGGGCUCUUACAUGAGCUGAAGUUAAGAAUGGCAAACUGUACAUCAAUCUGUGCUCUCUGUGUAGAGCACUGGUCCGCAGGCACCGUCCUGCGGUUGGGAGCUUGCAAAGCAAGCCUUGCAGGGGGAGACUGUCCAGUGCCCUGUGGACCAGGAAGGUGUGGCCAGGUUGCAGCUGGACAUGGCAAUGUCCCUGCUGAAUGACACAGCUCGUUCAGUGUUACAUCAGGACUUCUCAGUGAGGAUCAUCAGCUACAUAACACCCCUAAAAGACAACAUCAACCUCAACAACAAGAUCGACAUCAGCUCAGGAGAAGGUCAACCACCAGUCGAGAUAAUCAUAAGACUCAUACAACGCAACAUACCGCAGCAGAGGAGAAAACGACGGAUUUGAGAGAGAAGAUUUGUUCUGCAGGUUACGCAGGAAGACAGACAGACAGAGAGACAGUAAGAGGAGAUAAAUCAGAGUCAGACAGCUGUAGUCAGCAGGCAGAGUGAUGGAGAGGAAACUAUUGGUCAACUUCCCUUCAGCUCAGUGUGUGUGUGUGUGUGUGUGUGUG